rnacentral:snoRNA from 1 species
AUCCUUUUGUAGUUCAUAAGCCUGAUGAUUGGGUUCUCAUGCUCAUGUGUGAGAUGUGCCUCCCUUAAACCUUGUUAUGGCAUCGGCUCUUUACCUGUCUGAUG